UCGAGGGGCAGCGCGUCUUCGGAUGGCGGCGACCGGCGCACGGGUGCGCACCGCGUAUGGAACCUGCCCUCUACAGGGGAAUAGCCCAGGGAAACUUGGAUUAAUGCCCCGUGGCACCAUUUAACGGCAUCGUUUUAUGGUUAAAGCCUUCGGGCGGUAGAGGAUGGCCAUGCGUCCCAUUAGUUAGUUGGUAGGGUAACGGCCUACCAAGACCGCGAUGGGUAGGGGCCCUGAGAGGGGGAUCCCCCACACUGGUACUGAGACACGGACCAGACUCCUACGGGAGGCAGCAGUGAGGAAUAUUGGACAAUGGGCGAGGGCCUGAUCCAGCCAUGCCGCGUGCAGGAAGAAUGCCCUAUGGGUAGUAAACUGCUUUUAUACGGGAAGAAAAAGGGGCACGUGUGCCCUGUUGACGGUACCGUAAGAAUAAGGACCGGCUAACUCCGUGCCAGCAGCCGCGGUAAUACGGAGGGUCCGAGCGUUAUCCGGAAUUAUUGGGUUUAAAGGGUCCGUAGGCGGGCCGGUAAGUCAGGGGUGAAAGUCUGUAGCUCAACUAUAGAACUGCCUUUGAUACUGCCGGUCUUGAGUCACGGUGAAGUUGGCGGAAUAUGUGGUGUAGCGGUGAAAUGCAUAGAUAUCACAUAGAACACCGAUUGCGAAGGCAGCUGACUAACCGUGUACUGACGCUGAUGGACGAAAGCGUGGGGAGCGAACAGGAUUAGAUACCCUGGUAGUCCACGCCGUAAACGAUGGAUACUAGCUGUCCGGGUCCUUGAGACCUGGGCGGCCAAGCGAAAGUGAUAAGUAUCCCACCUGGGG
rnacentral:rRNA from 1 species